CUUGCAAUGGCAAGGACCACAGGGGGAAGAGACUUCCCUGACGCCUGAAGUGCCCUUGCAUAACCACUUCGUUUCCUUGUGGACUGAAGAGGAAAGGACCUGUCACAUCACAAGGGGCACUGGGGCUGAGUAAGGCGGGCCCGUCUGCUCCCUGCACAACAACCAGUAAGGCAGCCCCCUCUGGUCCCGUAUCACAGCCAGCACAACUAAGAAAAGGCAACGGGUGAUAGCAGUAGGUGAUUUAUGAGAGGUUCAGAGGUACUGAGAGAUCUGACACACACUCUAGAGAGGUGGUGCUUACUGGGGAGUCAUAACAGGGAUGUCACUGAUAGGCUGCUGAGCCUUGUACAGUCUACUGACUAUUACACACUGCUGUUUCAUUAAUUCCCCCCUCAAAGGGAAGGUGUUUGAAAGGGCCAUUUAGUUUGGGUAGAUCAACAAAUGGCUACAGGCUGGUACCACAGUCAGGGUUUUGGCUUCUUGGGCCACAUGAAUCACCUUGACAAACUGGAUGUGCUGAGGGCUCAUGGGGUUCCAUCUGUCAGAGAAGGGGAAGAUCACCUUCAGCCAUAGGCUUGCCAGGCUGGUGAAGAGAGAUUUAAAUUCAAUGUGUCAGGAGACGGGAACCUCAGUCCCUCUUGGUCCUUCCAGUCUGAUGGCAAGUCAGCAAGAGAGGGCCAGAGCUUGGAGUGGGUCAGGGGGAGAACACAUGAAAAAUCAUGAAGGAAUUCCUGACACUCCAGCCAGUAAUCAGCUUCAUCAGGGACUGAACUUAAAUGCCUUUGUGCCAACACACACAUCACAGGGAAUUAACAAGAGGAGUUAGAGCAGUUAGAGAUGGGCUAACAGGCACCACAGAGAUAUGGUGGAACGGCUCCUAUGGCUCCAGUGUUGAAAUGAGAGGUUACAGACACUCUUGAAAAACCAGGCACGAGAGACGAGGAAAGAGUGUUGCUCUCUGUGCCAAGAACAUGGAUGAGGAAUCAACUGAGAGCCCAUGGAUCUGGAUUAAAGGCAGGGCAGGGACAGGUGACAUUAUAGCAGGAGCCCACUCAGGCUGCCUGAGCAGGAACAUUGAACAGAUGAGUCCCUCUACAGACAGAUAGGAGCAGCCUCACGUUCACAAGCCAGGUCCACAGGGGGAACUUGAACCACCCUGACAGCAGUUCAAGGGAGAAUACAGCGGGACAUAAGCAAUCUGGGAGGUUUCUGGAAGACAGUGAUAAUUUCCUUCUCCCAGUGAUAGAGAAGAAGGAGACAUGCUAUGCAGGAUCUUGUCCUCACCAAGAAGGAGAGGCUGGUGGGGAAUGUAAAGCCCAGGGACAGUCUGGGAUGCAGUGAUCACGAAAUGGUGGAGUUUGAGAUCUUCUGGGCAGUGACAAAGGCACACAGCAAGCUCACUAACCUAGACUUC
rnacentral:lncRNA from 1 species